GGGACACGUGGUAUCCUGUCUGAAUAUGGGGGGACCAUCCUCCAAGGCUAAAUACUCCUGACUGACCGAUAGUGAACCAGUACCGUGAGGGAAAGGCGAAAAGAACCCCGGCGAGGGGAGUGAAAAAGAACCUGAAACCGUGUACGUACAAGCAGUGGGAGCACCCUUGUGGUGUGACUGCGUACCUUUUGUAUAAUGGGUCAGCGACUUAUAUUCUGUAGCAAGGUUAACCGUAUAGGGGAGCCGAAGGGAAACCGAGUCUUAACUGGGCGUUAAGUUGCAGGGUAUAGACCCGAAACCCGGUGAUCUAGCCAUGGGCAGGUUGAAGGUUGGGUAACACUAACUGGAGGACCGAACCGACUAAUGUUGAAAAAUUAGCGGAUGACUUGUGGCUGGGGGUGAAAGGCCAAUCAAACCGGGAGAUAGCUGGUUCUCCCCGAAAGCUAUUUAGGUAGCGCCUCGUGAACUCAUCUUCGGGGGUAGAGCACUGUUUCGGCUAGGGGGCCAUCCCGGCUUACCAACCCGAUGCAAACUACGAAUACCGAAGAAUGUUAUCACGGGAGACACACGGCGGGUGCUAACGUCCGUCGUGAAGAGGGAAACAACCCAGACCGCCAGCUAAGGUCCCAAAGUCAUGGUUAAGUGGGAAACGAUGUGGGAAGGCACAGACAGCCAGGAUGUUGGCUUAGAAGCAGCCAUCAUUUAAAGAAAGCGUAAUAGCUCACUGGUCGAGUCGGCCUGCGCGGAAGAUGUAACGGGGCUAAACCAUG
rnacentral:rRNA from 1 species